rfam:Danio rerio chromosome 10, GRCz11 reference primary assembly.
CUUGUCCUAUUUUGUAAGCCACUUUGGAUAAAAGCGUCUGCUAAAUGACUAAAU